UACAGAGGGGGCAAGCGUUGUUCGGAAUUACUGGGCGUAAAGGGCGCGUAGGCGGCCUGCUAAGUCGAACGUGAAAUCCCUGGGCUCAACCCAGGAACUGCGUCCGAUACUGGUUGGCUUGAAUCCGGGAGAGGGAUGUGGAAUUCCAGGUGUAGCGGUGAAAUGCGUAGAUAUCUGGAGGAACACCGGUGGCGAAGGCGACAUCCUGGACCGGUAUUGACGCUGAGGCACGAAAGCGUGGGGAGCAAACAGG
rnacentral:rRNA from 1 species